CUCUCAUCAUGUCCCAUGGCCCAUCACCAACCCCGACUAAAAUUAUUGAUAAAGGAUAUUCACUUGCUUUUACAAUUGCAUCAAUUGUCUUUUUCUCCUGUGGACUGAGUUGACCAUGCUGNNNNNNNNNGUAUCGACGCUCCUUGUUACCUGCCCAUCAGCAAUUAUCAACAGGACAUGGUACUGUCCAGCACUUUGCUCAACAAUAGUAACGGCCAUGUCAAUGAU
rnacentral:misc_RNA from 1 species